AUGGAGGGACCCUGGCGGGAACCCCAGCAGGUCCUUAUCCUGACUCCUCGGCGAGUGCAGCUUCAUCUCAGGAAGGAGCGAGUGGAGCUAAAUAACUACCUGAACAAGUUCUUGCUCUCUGCCAAAGCCAGCACCUCCCACAGUGCAGCUGUGGGUGCAACCUCAGCAGACCCCUGGAGCAUGCCAGCGCCUCCUCCUGACCAGGAACCAACCUGGGCCACACCAAGCAAGGUGACCGAGCUCUCACCAGGUGAGGGAAAGAGUCCCCCACGCUAAGAGCCCUGGCUAAAAAAUGCUCCGCAGAGGAUGUAUGGAGAAACCAUAAAUUCAGGACUUUGAACCUGCGAACAAGAGAAGCCGCCCUCAUCUAGACAUGCCGGAUUGUUGUCAGAGGGCUGGUGUGAACUCAGCUCAUUUUUACACACACUCUGCCCUGUCUUCGUCUGCUCAGCUGCCAUAACAGAAUACCACAGGCUGCAGGCAUAG